GUCCCCACACUGUCACCAGUCUGCUGUCCCUGAGCUGCUGAGUCCUGGCAGACCUGCAUUGGCGAAACACUUGCCGGUCCGAACCUGCCUUGCCUGUCGCCAGCUCUGCUCUGACUUGGGCCAGAUUCUGGAUUUCCCCAUGCUUGCCUGCCCCUUUUAAAACUUUUCAGCGUGACUGACCGCUGGGACGAGGGGGAAAUGGAGUGAUCCGCUGGAGCUCUGCAUGGUUACCUGAAAACUUUGCACAUUACACAGGGAGUAACUGUCUGGCCUGCUACCUACCACCAGUCCCUGAGCCGUGCUGCUGUUUCGGUUCUUUUCUUUUGUACUGUUUUGGUUUUCUUUUGUUUUCCCUGUUUUUCCGUUUUUUGGGUUCUGUUGCGGUGGUUGAUCGGCUUGGAGCAGUCUCCGCCUUGGUACAGUAUGGCUGAUUGCUUCCUGGGCCCACUUUGUAGCAGAGGCCUGAUUGUGUCACAGGCUGGCCUGAGCAUGACUGCCCACACUUAGUGACAUGGGCCCAAUGUUUUAAUCCCUUAUGUAAGAAUUUUUUUUCUUUGAUUUUGUUAGUCAGAAAUUAAUUUGGUUAUUUCCUUUUGGUAUUUUUGUUUUCAUUUAAUGUGUUAAUUUUUUGUAGUUAUCUUUUAUGUAAGUCUAUUUAGUUUCACUUAUUGAACUGAUUAGUUUACUUACUGUCUGUAAACAUUUGUUUAGUACACACCGGUUUCAUUAAUUUUUGGGCAUGUUUCUUUCUUUGUUACCAGGUGCUUUGUUACCAGAAGCAGUGUUAAGAAAUCCCACUGAUGUGGGAUUGCUUAACACUGCUCAGCAUGUUACCAUAACACCUAACAGCACUUAUUUGUAAGAUAAUAUCCUUUAAAACCUAAAACAGAAGAGGGUAUAUCUGAAGUGGUGAAGGGAUGGAGACGAGUAAUUGAAUUGCAGGUUGUAAACAGAGCUGUGGUUCCACGAGCCCUAAAUGUACUUGAUCCUUAAACUCUGCUAAAAAAAAAAAAAAAAAAAAAAACUAUAUAUGGUACACCAUUGAAAAUCUGGCAAAUGCAUUUUUCUCAGUCCCAGCGGACCCACAAUCACAGUUCUGGUUUACUUUUAUCUACAAAGGAAAGAAAUUCUGACCUGUGUUGAUAAUUUGUUGAUUUGCUCACCUAGCCAAGA